AUGGCCUACUCCUGCACCUAAUUUCUAUGUUUCUAUGUUAUGUGGAGAAGGCAGGAGAAUGGGGUUAAGAGGGAAAAAUAGAUCAGCCAUAAUUGAAUGGCGGAGUAGACUUGAUGGGCUGAAUGCCCAAAUUCUGCUCCGACAACUUUUGAACUUG